CUCGCUACAACUCCGAGCGUAGUAAUUCAUUAUCUCGCUAGGGAGGUUGCGGCGUGCUCCUGCCGUUAAAGACCCAUCUUUAACCAAGGUUGACCUCGGAUCAGGUAGGAAUACCCGCUGAACUUAAGCAUAUCAAUAAGCGGAGGAAAAGAAACCAACAGGGAUUGCCCUAGUAACGGCGAGUGAAGCGGCAACAGCUCAAAUUUGAAAUCUGGCUUCGGCCCGAGUUGUAAUUUGUAGAGGAUGCUUUUGGUGAGGUGCCUUCUGAGUUCCCUGGAACGGGACGCCAGAGAGGGUGAGAGCCCCGUAUAGUCGGCCACCGAUCCUUUGUAAAGCUCCUUCGACGAGUCGAGUAGUUUGGGAAUGCUGCUCAAAAUGGGAGGUAUAUCUCUUCUAAAGCUAAAUAUAGGCCAGAGACCGAUAGCGCACAAGUAGAGUGAUCGAAAGAUGAAAAGCACUUUGAAAAGAGGGUUAAAUAGCACGUGAAAUUGUUGAAAGGGAAGCGCUUGUGACCAGACUUGUGCCGGGCUGAUCAUCCAGUGUUCUCACUGGUGCACUCGACCCGGCUCAGGCCAGCGUCGGUUUUCGCGGGGGGAUAAAAGCUUCGGGAACGUGGCACCUUCGGGUGUGUUAUAGCCCGUUGCUUAAUACCUCCGU
rnacentral:rRNA from 1 species